rnacentral:rRNA from 1 species
CCGGGAAUUUUGGGCAAUGGGGGAAACCCUGACCCAGCAACGCCGCGUGAAGGAUGAAGUAUUUCGGUAUGUAAACUUCGAAAGAAUAGGAAGAAUAAAUGACGGUACCGUAAGAAUAAGCACCGGCUAACUACGUGCCAGCAGCCGCGGUAAUACGUAGGGUGCAAGCGUUAAUCGGAAUUACUGGGCGUAAAGCGUGCGCAGGCGGUUAUGUAAGACAGGUGUGAAAUCCCCGGGCUUAACCUGGGAACUGCAUUUGUGACUGCAUAGCUAGAGUACGGUAGAGGGGGAUGGAAUUCCGCGUGUAGCAGUGAAAUGCGUAGAUAUGCGGAGGAACACCGAUGGCGAAGGCAAUCCCCUGGACCUGUACUGACGCUCAUGCACGAAAGCGUGGGGAGCAAACAGGAUUAGAUACCCACGUAGUCCCUGAGCGGGCUGGCAAGGCGCAU